rnacentral:tRNA from 1 species
CACCCGAUGACUGAAAUGAUAAGUGUAGGUCUUUUAAACCUAUUAUGGUACACUCUACCUCUGGUGG